UACGUAGGGUGCAAGCGUUGUCCGGAAUUAUUGGGCGUAAAGAGCUCGUAGGCGGUCUGUCGCGUCGGCUGUGAAAACCCGAGGCUCAACCUCGGGCCUGCAGUCGAUACGGGCAAACUAGAGUACUGCAGGGGAGAAUGGAAUUCCCGGUGUAGCGGUGAAAUGCGCAGAUAUCGGGAGGAACACCGGUGGCGAAGGCGGUUCUCUGGGCCUUACCUGACGCUGAGGAGCGAAAGCAUGGGGAGCGAACAGG
rnacentral:rRNA from 1 species